GACGAACGCUGGCGGCGUGCUUAACACAUGCAAGUCGAACGCUGAAGCUCAGCUUUUGUUGGGUGGAUGAGUGGCGAACGGGUGAGUAACACGUGAGUAACCUGCCCCCUUCUUUGGGAUAACGCCCGGAAACGGGUGCUAAUACUGGAUAUUCACUGGUCUUCGCAUGGGGGUUGGUGGAAAGGGUUUUUCUGGUGGGGGAUGGGCUCGCGGCCUAUCAGCUUGUUGGUGGGGUGAUGGCCUACCAAGGCUUUGACGGGUAGCCGGCCUGAGAGGGUGACCGGUAACAUUGGGACUGAGAUACGGCCCAGACGACUACGGGGGGCAGCAGUGGGGAAAAUUGCACAAUGGGCGCAAGACUGAUGCAGCGACGCCGCGUGAGGGAUGGAGGCCUUCGGGUUGUGAACCUCUUUCGCUCAUGGUCAAGCCGCAACAAUGGUUGUGGUGAGGGUAGUGGGUAAAGAAGCGCCGGCUAACUACGUG
rnacentral:rRNA from 1 species